UGGGGAAUUUUGGACAAUGGGCGAAAGCCUGAUCCAGCAAUGCCGCGUGUGUGAAGAAGGCCUUCGGGUUGUAAAGCACUUUUGUCCGGAAAGAAAUCCUUGGCUCUAAUACAGUCGGGGGAUGACGGUACCGGAAGAAUAAGCACCGGCUAACUACGUGCCAGCAGCCGCGGUAAUACGUAGGGUGCAAGCGUUAAUCGGAAUUACUGGGCGUAAAGCGUGCGCAGGCGGUUUGCUAAGACCGAUGUGAAAUCCCCGGGCUCAACCUGGGAACUGCAUUGGUGACUGGCAGGCUAGAGUAUGGCAGAGGGGGGUAGAAUUCCACGUGUAGCAGUGAAAUGCGUAGAGAUGUGGAGGAAUACCGAUGGCGAAGGCAGCCCCCUGGGCCAAGUACUGACGCUCAUGCACGAAAGCGUGGGGAGCAAAACAGGAUUAGAUACCCUGGUAGUCCACGCCCUAAAACGAUGUCAACUAGUUGUUGGGGAUUCAUUUCCUUAGUAACGUAGCUAACGCGUGAAGUUGACCGCUGGGGAGUACGUCGCAAGAUUAAAACUCAAAGAAUUGAC
rnacentral:rRNA from 1 species